GUGAUGUUUGCUUGGUUGCCUGUUCCCUUUUCUACCUGCAAAGCACGGUUCCCAUAAGGGCAGCGAGAUCAGCCUCCUGUCUCAUCUGGAAGACCACCACUCUGGGGUCUCAGAGGAAUGAUGGAAGCCUUGGGGUUUCUAAAAUUGGAAGUGAAUGGCCCCAUGGUGACGGUGGCCCUGUCAGUGGCUCUCUUGGCCCUCCUGAAAUGGUACUCCACAUCAGCAUUCUCAAGACUGGAGAAGUUAGGCCUCAGACAUCCCAAGCCUUCUCCUUUUAUUGGAAACUUGACAUUUUUCCGCCAGGGUUUUUGGGAAAGCCAAAUGGAGCUCAGAAAGCUGUAUGGACCUCUGUGUGGGCGUCGGGUUUGGAGUUCAAGUCGGUAGCCGACAGCGUUCUGUUUUUACGUGACAAAAGAUGGGAAGAGGUCAGAGGUGCCCUGAUGUCUGCUUUCAGUCCUGAAAAGCUGAACGAGAUGGUUCCCCUCAUCAGCCAAGCCUGCAACCUUCUCCUGGCUCAUUUAAAACGCUAUGCGGAAUCUGGGGACGCAUUUGACAUCCAGAGGUAAGGCUACUGCAUUACAGAUGAGAAAUCGAGUUUUUGAAUCACUGCUUCUUGUAACUGU
rnacentral:sRNA from 1 species